UACGGGGGGGAGCAAGCGUUGUUCGGAUUUACUGGGCGUAAAGGGCGCGUAGGCGGUCGUGACAAGUCACUUGUGAAAUCUCCGGGCUUAACUCGGAACGGUCAAGUGAUACUGUCGGACUAGAGUACAGAAGGGGCAACUGGAAUUCUCGGUGUAGCGGUGAAAUGCGUAGAUAUCGGGAGGAAUACCUAUGGCGAAAGCAGGCUACUGGACCGUCACUGACUCUGAUCUGCGAAAGCUAGGGGAGCAAACAGG
rnacentral:rRNA from 1 species